rnacentral:tRNA from 1 species
CACUAAGAAGCUUUUAUAGCACUAGCCUUUUAAGCUAGAGAGGAGAGCUCCUACUCUCCUUAGUGA